rnacentral:misc_RNA from 1 species
GGAAUUUCCAAGACUUCCGGGGUUGCACCAGUAUAUGUUAGUGUCAAUUGCACAAAACCGGACGGAGAAUGGAAAAGAUCACUCGAUGACAAGGUGAAUUCUUGUUCUAGCUUCCCAUUCUCAGCAAGAACAUCACAAAGUGGUACUAAAGUUAAUCCCAACAACUGAUCCUGCAAAUAAUUCUUCACCCUACUCAUCAUCCAUAUCUCACAUCUCACUGAUGUUUCAAUAGUCUUGACAUUAAGUCGAAGACUCUGAUCGAAAACCGGGUUCUGC